UACAGAGGUCCCGAGCGUUGUUCGGAUUCACUGGGCGUAAAGGGUGCGUAGGUGGUGAGGUAAGUCGGAUGUGAAAGCUCCAAGCUCAACUUGGAAAGGUCAACUGAUACUGUGCGACUAGAGUGCGGAAGGGGCAACUGGAAUUCUCGGUGUAGCGGUGAAAUGCGUAGAUAUCGAGAGGAACACCUGCGGCGAAGGCGGGUUGCUGGGCCGACACUGACGCUGAUGCGCGAAAGCCAGGGGAGCGAACGGG
rnacentral:rRNA from 1 species